rnacentral:misc_RNA from 1 species
AAUUAGAAGAGGUAAGAUAGUAAAGGCCUUGUGAUUCAUGCCCUGUUCCAAUCGUCUGUCCUGUCCUGUGGUCCUGCAUGAGAAAAAAAUCAUCAAAAAAAGUUAUGUUACAAUGUAGGGAUGUCGUCAAACGACUAGCCGAUGCUAGAUUAAAAGGAGAACCAGGGACAUAAAGAACAAAGUCUAAGGUGACAGAAGAUACGGGUUUGGCUUUUCCAAUCCCCUUUGGUUUUGUUUGGAUCUGAUUGGCUAAAGUAAUAGCUGAAAGAGAUUGUGAAUAAACAAUAUCAGACAAAAGUGAUUUAUUACCAAAGAUAUGACCAGAAGCCCCUGAGUCCAUGACCCAUGAUCCAAGAGUGCUAGACUGUGACACACAAGUCCUGCAAUAGAAAUACGAGGUUGUGCAACCAAAACAACUUGUGGAGACGUUUAUUUAUUUGCGCAACACCGAAUGAACUCUCUAUAUUCCUUUAGAACAACAGGAUCAUAACUGGGUGGUGGACCAUGCAAAAUAUAACAUAUAUCAUGAGUGUGUCCAAGCUUAU